rnacentral:lncRNA from 1 species
GCACAACAUGGACAAAAGUAUAUGGACAAAUGUUCACUGAAAAUGUUAUUUGAAAAGCAUAGAAGAGCUUUAAAGGGACACUAUAGUCACCUAAACAACUUUAGCUUAAUGAAGCAGGUGUAUAGAACAUGCCCCUGCAGCCUCACUGCUCAAUCCUCUGCCAUUUAGGAAUUAAAUCCCUUUGUUUAUGAACCCUUGUCACACCUACCUGCAUGUGACUUGCACAGCCUUCCAUAAACACUUCCUGUAAAGAGAGAGUCCUAUUUAGGUUUUCUUUACUGCAAGUUCUGUUUAAUUAAGAUUUUCUUAUCCCCUGCUAUGUUAAUAGCUUGCUAGACCCUGCAAGAGCCUCCUGUAUGUGAUUAAAGUUCAAUGUAGAGAUUGAGAAACAAUUAUUUAAGGUAAAUUACAUCUGUUUGAAAGUGAAACCAGUUUUUUUUUCAUGCAGGCUCUGUCAAUCAUAGCCAGGGAAGGUGUGGCUAAGGCUGCAUAAACAGAAACAAAGUGAUUUAACUCCUAAAUGACAGUGAAUUGAGCAGUGAAAUUGCAGGGGAAUGAUCUAUACACUAAAACUGCUUUAUUUAGCUAAAGUAAUUUAGGUGACUAUAGUGUUCCUUUAAAAACAAGUUAGCUGCUAGAACAUUGCUGCGGGGAUUUGUUUACAUCCAAACGAGACAAUAUGUAUAUACCAAUGUAUACAGUUUGUCCCGGAUUGUAGAUUUUUUUUUUUCUGGCUUUAGUUGAGAAUCAUGGAAGUUACAGUUUACAGUACCCAAAUUCCUCUUUAACCCAUACGUUCACCCUCUUUUUUUAAAAAGGAACGCUAUAGAGCAAACCGGUGUUCCUGUCGCUAUAAUGUCCCUUACCCUAGUUAUAUUCAGGACCUUGCACACUAUUUGUCAUAGCUUCUCAUAGUAAUGCAUUGAAUUCAAUCCACUACAGCAGUAGUGCCUCUAGCUGCUUUCAGUAUGAGAGCCACUAAUAGGUGUGUUUAACCCUUCAAGAUAAACAUUGACCUUUCUUCUGAAUGGUAAUGUUUUACAUUGAAGGUACUAAAGUCACUCAGAACAAUUCAUUGAAAUGAAGUGAUCUGGGAGACUAUAGUGGUCCUUUUAUCUAAAGUACUCCUAACCAAAUGUUCCCAUUCCUAAACUCUCUCUAACCCUCCGACAAAGCUUCACCUUUGGAUGUUAAAACAUCACCGUACAGAACAGUAAUAGAGGCUGGUCCAUAGGACCAUUUCUGGCCAUAUACAUUGAACCUGAAAGCAUACUCUUUCCAAUACAUUGACCAGUCUUUGUUUUUCUUAAAUUGUCAUGAAUAUUGAAAAAUAAUUCCUUAAAUUACAGUGGUUCAUACACUACACUGUAAAAUAAAAUCUAUUUGAAGAUUUAUUUAUUGUUUUGUAUCCUGCUUAUAGUGGAAUUCUAAGUGUGAAUAUUAAGGAAUCUUUAACUUAACCCUUUUAUAGCACCAUUGUUGUGGUUAUAAUGCUAUGUAUGUCUAGUGGGCAAACAUGUAAAUUCCUGUUCCUUCCUAAUCUGAGAAUAAUAAAGCGUCUGUAUUUCUCAUUCUAUUUUAACACAAACCAAUCAUCAGGUACACUUCAGACUGUUAUAGUCUAUUCACUCCAGGCAUAAAACUGGUUAACAAUUAAACCAUUUCCAGUAUGGAGGAUUGAAUAAAAUACUGUUAAUACUGUUAAGGAGAACACAUAUCUGUCUAUUAAACUGGAAAACAAUGGCAUGGUUCAAGAUCCCUAGUACUAUGAAAGUAGUAAUUUU